rnacentral:rRNA from 1 species
AUUGAACGCUGGCGGCAUGCCUAACACAUGCAAGUCGAACGGAGGUAGGGGCAACUCUACUUCAGUGGCGGACGGGUGAGGAAUGCGUCGGAAUCUACCCUAUGGUGGGGGAUAACACAGGGAAACUUGUGCUAAUACCGCAUAAUGUCGAGAGACCAAAGCAGGGGACCGCAAGGCCUUGCGCGAUAGGAUGAGCCGACGCCCGAUUAGCUAGUUGGUAGGGUAAAGGCCUACCAAGGCGACGAUCGGUAGCUGGUCUGAGAGGAUGAUCAGCCACACUGGGACUGAGACACGGCCCAGACUCCUACGGGAGGCAGCAGUGGGGAAUAUUGCACAAUGGGAGAAAUCCUGAUGCAGCGACGCCGCGUGUGGGAAGAAGGAGCUUAGCUUCGUAAACCACUGUCGGAGGGGACGAAUGGUAGGUUAGACCUACUGAGACGGUACCCUCAAAGGAAGGAUCGGCUAACUACGUGCCAGCAGCCGCGGUAAUGUAG